AUUGAACGCUGGCGGCAGGCCUAACACAUGCAAGUCGAGCGGAUGACGGGAGCUUGCUCUCUGAUUCAGCGGCGGACGGGUGAGUAAUGCCUAGGAAUCUGCCUGAUAGUGGGGGACAACGUUUCGAAAGGAACGCUAAUACCGCAUACGUCCUACGGGAGAAAGCAGGGGACCUUCGGGCCUUGCGCUAUCAGAUGAGCCUAGGUCGGAUUAGCUAGUAGGUGGGGUAAAGGCUCACCUAGGCGACGAUCCGUAACUGGUCUGAGAGGAUGAUCAGUCACACUGGAACUGAGACACGGUCCAGACUCCUACGGGAGGCAGCAGUGGGGAAUAUUGGACAAUGGGCGAAAGCCUGAUCCAGCCAUGCCGCGUGUGUGAAGAAGGUCUUCGGAUUGUAAAGCACUUUAAGUUGGGAGGAAGGGCAGUAAGUUAAUACCUUGCUGUUUUGACGUUACCAACAGAAUAAGCACCGGCUAACUUCGUGCCAGCCGCCGCCGUAACAC
rnacentral:rRNA from 1 species